CCUACGGGUGGCAGCAGUGAGGAAUAUUGGUCAAUGGCCGUGAGGCUGAACCAGCCAAGUCGCGUGAGGGAAGAAGGCCCUACGGGUUGUAAACCUCUUUUGUAGGGGAAUAAAGAGAGUCACGUGUGACUCAUUGAAUGUACCCGAAGAAUAAGCAUCGGCUAACUCCGUGCCAGCAGCCGCGGUAAUACGGAGGAUGCGAGCGUUAUCCGGAUUUAUUGGGUUUAAAGGGUGCGCAGGUUGGUUUUUAAGUCAGGCGUGAAAGUUUGGGGCCCAACCCUAAAAUUGCCGUUGAAACUGGAUGUCUUGAGUGCGUUUGAGGUAGGCGGAAUGCGUGGUGUAGCGGUGAAAUGCAUAGAUAUCACGCAGAACUCCGAUUGCGAAGGCAGCUUACUA
rnacentral:rRNA from 1 species